UUGCUUUGCAAGCAUAUAUAUUAAAAUUAGACAAAUAUGGAGAAAAUUAGCAUGGCCCCUACAUAAGGAUAACAUGCAAAUUCUUGAAACACUCCAUAUUUGU